GUGGGGAAUAUUGCACAAUGGGCGGAAGCCUGAUGCAGCAACGCCGCGUGCGGGAUGACGGCCUUCGGGUUGUAAACCGCUUUCAGCAGGGACGAAGCGUGAGUGACGGUACCUGCAGAAGAAGCACCGGCUAACUACGUGCCAGCAGCCGCGGUGAUACGUAGGGUGCGAGCGUUGUCCGGAUUUAUUGGGCGUAAAGAGCUUGUAGGCGGUUGGUUGCGUCGAAAGUGCAAACUCAGGGCUUAACUCUGAGCCUGCUUUCGAUACGGGCUGACUGGAGGAAGGUAGGGGAGAAUGGAAUUCCCGGUGGAGCGGUGGAAUGCGCAGAUAUCGGGAGGAACACCAGUGGCGAAGGCGGUUCUCUGGUCUGUAACUGACGCUGAGGUUCGAAAGCGUGGGUAGCAAACAGGAUUAGAAACCCGUGUAGUCC
rnacentral:rRNA from 1 species